UUGUCUUAUCGUACAGUAUAGUGUGGAGUGACCCACGCUUACUAUGCUUUCAUAAUAUUCGUUCAUUUUCAGUUGUGGUAUAGCAGUAUAGUGUGGUGGAACCCACGCUUACUACAUAUUAUCAUACUUUUUGGAUGGAUUACAUCACAGUUGUUAUAUUUUUAAUUUAACUUUCUUUUUCUCUUUUUGUUGAAUUAUCGUUUUAGCUCUGAUCGAAUGAAGGGCAAAACACAGUUUUCGAGAUAUAAGUUCACAGUUCUGCUCAACUUUCUUAUUUAAAAUUAUAUCUGCCUGAUGUUGGUUAAUUUUCGAGCAGUCCAGAAUUAAUUGUAAUCUGGAGUCUGUCUUGAUGUUGUAAAACGAUAUUGCUGUUUCCUUUAUCAAAAAGUCAUCUAGUUGUUUAAGAAACGGG
rnacentral:lncRNA from 1 species